rnacentral:rRNA from 1 species
GACAGUUUUGCCCUGAGUAGACCUUGGAGUCGGGUUGUUUGUGAAUGCAGCCCAAAGCGGGUGGUAAACUCCAUCCAAGGCUAAAUACUAGCACGAGUCCGAUAGCGAACAAGUACCGUGAGGGAAAGUUGAAAAGUACUUUGAAGAGAGAGUAAACAGUGCGUGAAACCGCUCAGAGGUAAACGGGUGGAGUUGAACUGUAAGCUCCGGGGAUUCAGCUGGUGAGUGUGUCAUGGGCUUGGUCAUUUUCGGCCGGCCUCUAGAGUCCGCUUAGCUGCGGGUUCCUGCUUCUUCGGGAGUAGGGAUGUGCGUUGCGCUUGUCAAGUGCUGUGCGCUCUGGAGGUUGCCGGGCUGGCUCGCCGGUGCACUUUCUCGGAGUGGUCACCACGACCGGCGUUGUUGUCUUACUGCUGUAGUCAAACCGGUCAGGUUUGGUCCUUGUGGCUGAGCUUGAUCGGGAUGGCAGGUAGCUCAUUGGUUGGCUCGUCCAGUCUUUGGGUGUAAUCAGCUGACUGCAGUGGUUCUGUGCAAUACGUCGGAGACGGCGGCUCGAGGUAUUUGCUUAUGUGCCGUUGGCUGGCAGUGUCGGGUUUGACUGGCGUGUUUACCUGCUUCGGUGGGUCCGUUGGUAGUCCGGUGCUGUUCGGUUGGCGGUUGCAUUUGUGAUACCGCUCAUGGGCCCAUAGUCUGUGGUGUAGCAGCAAACGAUCCACCUGACCCGUCUUGAAACACGGACCAAGGAGUUUAACAUGUGCGCGAGUCAUUGGGCGUUACGAAACCCAAAGGCGCAGUGAAAGUGAAGGUUCGGCUUGUCCGAGCUGUGGUGAGAUCCUGUGGCUUCUCGUGCGAGGUACCACCAAGCAUUUGAGCUAUAGGCGCAUCACCAGCCCGUCUCAUGGUGUAGUCAUGUAACCUCGUGUUGUGUGCAUCACCGGGGCGGAGCCUGAGCGCACAUGUUGAGACCCGAAAGAUGGU